UAGUAUCUUGUCUAGGCUUGGACUUCAGCCUAUUAAAAUUAACCCCAAAUAAAUAAAACCCAAAUCGAAUAAAAAGGGAAGUAACCCAAAAUUUAUCGUAUUAGCUAGAAUCUAGAAACCCUAAAACUGAAAGCAAAGCAGAUACUUAUUAUAAUUGUUGUUGUUAUUGUUGUUGUUGAGUUUUGCCAUCACUUUUAGAUCAUGUUCUAUUUGUUGAUGUUUAUGCUUGCAAGUUUUGAUACCUUCUAAUUUAUAUCAUUGUAGGUUAUGGAACUAAGUACCUAUCGUCGAUUGAGCAGUUUCCCUGCGCACUUCCCCACACACCCGAAAUCAGUGUUCAUGUGAUCCCAUUGGAUUCAGUCCCACCGGGUAAGGCUGAAGUAUCAAUCGACCGCCUAAAUUAUUCUAGAUUUAUUCAAGAAAUAAAGUAGAGAUUUUAAUAACUAUAUUAGUUAUUAAUGGAAAGCUUUAAAUCUCUAACAACUCUAAACCCUCCAACUUCUUUGUUGCUUUGUUGCUUACUGUCUCUCUAAAUUCCUAACAGCCGAUCCACUUUUCUCCAUCGACUCGUUAUCCCAAACUCUCAGCUGUAGCAGGUUAGUAUUUCUAGGAAAUGUUUUUAUUUAUUUAUUUAGCUAAGUGAUUUGAAAAUUGUGGGAAGUUCCUGUUGAUUGAUCAAUAAUGCAGUUCAAUGCUAAGGGAUUCUAAUAACAAGUUGCAUUUGUAUGUUUAACGCGUACAGUUUUGAUAAUUUUUGCUAUUGCGUCUUUACUUUUUGUUUAAUUUUAUCGGGUAUGCAAUUGGAGUAUCGAAAUUUGGGUUAGCAAGUAAAUCGGGCUAAAUUGGAGCACAAACAAUAGAAAUUGGCUGAAUUGAAAUUUUUGAGAAAUUUAUGAUUGAUCAGAUUUUCUAUUUGACUUUGUAAAAGCUAGAUUUAGAAAAAAAAUUGAUAUAAAAUCUGAUUUGAUGUGGUUGGUUGUUAGAUGAAUUAGAUUAAUUUUAGCAUAUCAGAUGUGUAUACCUUGUAUGGUUGCCUUUGGAAAACACACUGGAAGUUGAAUGUAACAAUUUAUUUCUUUCUUUUCUUUCACGCGGCAGUGCUAAUUCAAACAUUCUGCUAUUCUUUUUCCAUUUUAUUAAUUUAGAUUUAAUUGUUUAUCAAGUCCUUUAUCCGUUCUUCCAUUCAUCAUUACCAUUAAAUUCCUUUUAUAAACCAACAAGGCGGACAUUAAAGGGGCCACAGGUGACUUGUGUAUACAGAAGUAGGUUCUCCUUGAACCUUUGAAGGGAGCCCAAGAUAUUCUGGGAAGUUUGCUGCUUGAAAGCUGCCAGCACCUUCCACUACUUCAAAAGGGUAGUAUCAACCUACUCUUGACACUCCUUAAUGAUCCUUUCCACUUCGAUGGAGUGCCUCAGAGUGACCUUCUUUAGAUUUGCCUCCACGAUUAUGUGCCUAUCCUUUUCGACAGCGAGCUCAACUUCACACUCCUCUGCUUUAGUUUCCAUCAUCACCAGGCGCUCGGUGAUGACUCACUGUUGCUCAUUUAUUAUUUUAUUUUUUUCUCUCACCUUUUUGUACAGCUCGCGUACCCUGUUUAGAUCAUCCCGAGUAUCAACGAGCUCCUUAUCACGGGCCUCCGUGUACCUCAAUCCAAGAGUGCCAACCUUAGACAAUAGGCGGUGUAAAGAUAAGGGUAAGUCCUCUACAGCCUCAACAGGCACCCUUUCACCUGUGGGAGCCAUCGGAGAAUUUUCGCAAACAGGAGAGAAAGAGUAUCGUCGGUAAUAGUAAUCGAUGAGCUCGCUUGGCCAACGAUUGGCAAGUUCGUUGGAGGGGAAGAAUGGAUAGGGGUAACUAUAGUAGCAAAGCCUCCACUAUCAACCAUCAUCUUCUAGCGGUGCUCCAGUUAAGGACCACUACCUUCCUCCUCACUAGAGGGGUUGACAUGUGUGGCCUAAGUUGAAGUCCCGCGCCUCUUGCGACUACCACUUAUUAAAACAUCAAUGUCCAUGGCUUCAUUAUGCUCGUGUGAGAUGCUAUCACUAUCAGUGUCGCUUAAACUACCUUCGCUGCCCUGAUUGCCUCUUGCACCACCAAGAACAAUAGAAUCAGUAGAAGUAAGUGACAAGUGAGUACCUCUAACCCCUUCUCUUGCUCAAAUUUUGGGAAGGCAAAGGGACGAAGCGCUAUCCUGUAAUAGUGGUAGAAGUAGUUAGCGAGUUUCCUCAUGCGCCCCGUCAAUUUUAUCUCCAUAGGGUAGAGGGAAUCAAUGGGCUAAAUACCCCUCGUUGGUGGCCCACCAACUGAUCACGCGACCUCUUAAUUCUCGUCAACCCUCUAACCAUUCGGGAAAAAAUUCUCCAGACAGAUGCUCCUAGCAAUUUGAACCUAUAAACUAAAAAAAUAGUUUCAUCAUUUUUUCUUUAAAAACAGAGAGAAAGCUCUCUCUCUCUCUUCUCCGGCCAUGGGCCAACGUGCCGGCCGCCGUGCAUGGCGGAGGAGAGACCAAAAGUUUCCCCCUUUUUUGCUUUCUGCCCCUCGAGCACUCCGGUACCACCGAACAAAGGUAAAAAACCCUUUUUUUUCUUUUAUUUCAAAUAUAAAUAAUAAAAUAGCAAGAAAAAGAACAAAAAGAAAAAGAAGGCCACCACCUUAAAACACGAUUUCGGUUCUUUUAUUUCUCAAAAUGUUGUUUUUUUUCUUUUGCUUUUGAUUCACUAGUGUCUCCCCCUUUACAAUGGUUUGCAAUCGGUUUCUUUAUACCGAAAUAAAAAACGAAAUCCCUCCAAAAAUUACAUUUUACUCGGCUUUUAUAGCCGAUUGCUACUGCUUGUAUUGUCUUUGCUUGCUUUUUUCUUCUUUGCAGGUGGCGGUGCAAGUAGCCGAUGUGACAAUGGCGGUGGCGGUGGCAGGAGACCAAAAGUCUUCAUGUGUGGCACUAGGGCUAGGGGGCAGGAGGCUGCGGCGCUAGGGUUUCAGUUUUUGAAACCCUAGGCUGACUUUGGGGGGAUUGGGCCUGUUGGGCCUCGGGCUGUAAUGGGUAUUGGGUUUGCUGGGCUUCGGGUUAAAAUUUUGUAAAGGGACUGUUGGCUUUAUUUUUGGGCCGGGCAAAAUAUGGGCCUUACACUAUAUACAAGAGUGGAGUGGAUGAUCUCUAUUUAUAAUUUCUACCUCUUAUAUAUCUAACGAAUAAUAUUCACUCAAACGGAAGAUCAAUAUCAAUUUUAGUCUAAAAUAUCUACACUAAAGGAAUUUAGCUUAAGUAAGG
rnacentral:lncRNA from 1 species